GAAUUAAGGCUAUAUCGAGGCAAUACGCACAGUAUGCACAUACGACAAUUAGAGACUGAUCAGUUGC
rnacentral:tRNA from 1 species